UAAAACGUAGGAGGCGAGCGUUAUCCGGAUUUACUGGGUGUAAAGCGCGUGCAGGCGGUUCUGCAAGUGGGACGUGAAAGCGCCCGGCUCAACCGGGCGAGGCCGUUCCGAACUGCGGGACUGGAGGCAGGUAGAGGCGUGUGGAAUUCCGGGUGUAGUGGUGAAAUGCGUAGAGAUCCGGAGGAACACCAGUGGCGAAGGCGACACGCUGGGCCUGGCCUGACGCUCAGACGCGAAAGCAUGGGGAGCGAACGGGAUUAGAAACCCCGGUAGUCCAUGCUGUAAACGAUGCUGACUAGGUGUGGCGGGUAUGAACUCCUGCCGUGCCGGAGCCAACGUGGUAAGUCAGCCACCUGGGGACUACGGCCGCAAGGUUAAAACUUAAAUGAAUUGACGG
rnacentral:rRNA from 1 species